rnacentral:rRNA from 1 species
AGCGAACGCUGGCGGUAGGCCUAACACAUGCAAGUCGAACGGCAGCACAGUAAGAGCUUGCUCUUACGGGUGGCGAGUGGCGGACGGGUGAGGAAUACAUCGGAAUCUACUUUUUCGUGGGGGAUAACGUAGGGAAACUUACGCUAAUACCGCAUACGACCUACGGGUGAAAGCAGGGGAUCUUCUGACCUUGUGCGAUUGAAUGAGCCGAUGUCGGAUUAGCUAGUUGGCGGGGUAAAGGCCCACCAAGGCGACGAUCCGUAGCUGGUCUGAGAGGAUGAUCAGCCACACUGGAACUGAGACACGGUCCAGACUCCUGCGGGAGGCAGCAGUGGGGAAUAUUAGACAAAGGGGGCAAGCCUGAUCCAGCCAUACCGCGUGGGUGAAGAAGGCGUUCGGGUUGUAAAGCCCUUUUGUUGGGAGAGAAACGCAGCAGGUUAAUACCCCGCUGUUCUGACGGUACCCAGAGAAUAAGCACCGGCUAACUUCGUG